UACGUAGGGGGGCAAGCGUUGUCCGGAAUCAUUGGGCGUAAAGCGCGUGUAGGCGGCCCGGUAAGUCCGCUGUGAAAGUCGGGGGGCUCAACCCUCGAAUGCCGGUGGAUACUGUCGGGCUAGAGUGCGGGAGAGGCGAGUGGAAUUCCUGGUGUAGCGGUGAAGACGCGCAGAUAUCAGGAGGAACACCAAUUGCGAAGGCAGCUCGCUGGAACGUAACUGACGCUGAGACGCGAAAGCGUGGGGAGCAAACAGG
rnacentral:rRNA from 1 species